GAUGAACGCUGGCGGCGUGCCUAAUACAUGCAAGUCGAGCGAACAGACGAGGAGCUUGCUCCUCUGACGUUAGCGGCGGACGGGUGAGUAACACGUGGAUAACCUACCUAUAAGACUGGGAUAACUUCGGGAAACCGGAGCUAAUACCGGAUAAUAUAUUGAACCGCAUGGUUCAAUAGUGAAAGACGGUUUUGCUGUCACUUCUCGAUGGAUCCGCGCCGCAUUAGCUAGUUGGUAAGGUAACGGCUUACCAAGGCAACGAUGCGUAGCCGACCUGAGAGGGUGAUCGGCCACACUGGAACUGAGACACGGUCCAGACUCCUACGGGAGGCAGCAGUAGGGAAUCUUCCGCAAUGGGCGAAAGCUUGACGGAGCAACGCCGCGUGAGUGAUGAAGGGCUUCGGAUCGUAAAACGCUGUUAUUAGGGAAGAACAAAUGUGUAAGUAACGAUGCACGUCUUGACGGUACCGAAUCAGAAAGCCACGGCUAACUACGU
rnacentral:rRNA from 1 species